rnacentral:rRNA from 1 species
UACGUAGGGGGCUAGCGUUGUCCGGAAUUACUGGGCGUAAAGGGAGCGUAGACGGCUUGUCAAGUUAUAUGUGAAAGCCUGCGGCUUAACCGUAGAAUUGCAUAUAAAACUGACUCGCUAGAGUGUAGGAGAGGUAAGCGGAAUUCCUAGUGGAGCGGUGGAAUGCGUAGAUAUUAGGAGGAACACCCGAGGCGAAGGCGGCUUACUGGACUAUAACUGACGUUGAGGCUCGAAAGCGUGGGUAGCAA